ACUCCUACGGGAGGCAGGCAGUGGGGAAUAUUGCACAAUGGGCGCAAGCCUGAUGCAGCCAUGCCGCGUGUGUGAAGAAGGCCUUCGGGUUGUAAAGCACUUUCAGCGAGGAGGAAGGUGGUGAGCUUAAUACGCUCAUCAAUUGACGUUACUCGCAGAAGAAGCACCGGCUAACUCCGUGCCAGCAGCCGCGGUAAU
rnacentral:rRNA from 1 species